rnacentral:rRNA from 1 species
UACGAAGGGGCUAGCGUUGCUCGGAAUCACUGGGCGUAAAGCGCACGUAGGCGGAUCUUUAAGUCAGGGGUGAAAUCCCAAGGCUCAACCUUGGAACUGCCUUUGAUACUGGGGAUCUCGAGUCCGGAAGAGGUGAGUGGAACUGCGAGUGGUAGAGGUGAAAUUCGUAGAUAUUCGCAAAGAACACCAGUGGCGAAGGCGGCUCACUGGUCCGGUACUGACGCUGAGGCGCGAAAGCGUGGGGAGCAAACAGG